AUGUCCAUGCCCAUUAAUGCCCA
rnacentral:siRNA from 1 species